ACAGCGACGAGCUCAACA
rnacentral:snRNA from 1 species